GAUGAACGCUAGCGGCAGGCCUAAUACAUGCAAGUCGAACGGUAAGUUUUCUUUGGAAGACACGAGUGGCGCACGGGUGAGUAACGCGUACGCAAUCUACCUCUAUCAGGGGGAUACACACGGGAAACUGUGGAUAAUCCCGCAUACAAUUCAGACUUGGCAUCAGGUUUGGAUAAAAGUCAAGGCGGAUAGAGAUGAGCGUGCGUCUGAUUAGCUAGUUGGUGAGGUAACGGCUCACCAAGGCGACGAUCAGUAGGGGGCGUGAGAGCGUGAUCCCCCACACGGGUACUGAGACACGGUCCAGACUCCUACGGGAGGCAGCAGUGGGGAAUAUUGGACAAUGGGCGCAAGCCUGAUCCAGCAAUUCCGCGUGGGUGAAGAAGGUCUUCGGAUUGUAAAGCCCUUUCGUUGGGGACGAUGAUGACGGUACCCAAAGAAGAAGCCCCGGCUAAACUUCGUG
rnacentral:rRNA from 1 species